UUUACAUUUUUAAAUGUUACAACGCCUUUCUUUUCCAAAAUCCGUCCUGUGGCGUGACAUGGCAUGUGAGAUCAGUGACAUCAGAACUGCUGACUGCCCUGAGCUGUGAUGAGGGCAGAGCUCUGAAGUUGAGGAUCCGUAAUUCAAGAAACUUCAUUCACUAUUCCCCACAUAUGGCCUUAAAGAAAUAAUUAGGCCUUCCAUGCUUUUCAGAUUUGGCUUAUUGCAGCUACUGCAUGUUUCUUUCUUCCAUCUUUUAAAAUUCCUUACUGUGUCUUAUCCCUACGUCCAGAAAUAACCUCCUUCACUGUGCCUUGGCGUCCAUCCCCCUGUUUCCUUGGGUGUUGCAAGGCUUAGGUAGUGAGCAAAGAGUUAGUUGUCUUCCCACACAGGAAGGGAUCUGCACUCAGAGCUGGCACUGACAAGUUUUAGCUCCCUGUCUCAGCAUCUCAAAUCCCAUUUAAUCUCUCAUCUCACCUGUGAUUCAGAUCAUUAACUCUGUUUCCUAGAUGCAGAAACCAAAACACCUGAAAGUUGAAUAGAAGUUUCAGAAGUAACAAUUUUGUCAGUGCCCAAGCCCAAUUUGAGACACUCUGAUUAUAUCUACCCAGCCAGAUAAAGCAGGGCCAAAGACUGUUCUCCAUCCCUGAUCUCAAAUGGCAGAUAUCACUGCAGCCGCUUGGCCCUGCAUCUCCUCUGGGCUGCUACUGGUGCACAUGUGGCUUUUAGUCAUCACUUUAUUUUAUGUGUGGUUUCCUUUUACUUUGGGGUGGGUUUUUUAAGUUCAAAGUGCCUGAAGAUAUGUGGCAGCCCAUCAGAGAGCUGCUUUCAGAGCUUAAAGCUGAGGUUAUGUCUCAUGAAGAUUCUCCGCCUGAGCCACGUCCAAGGUGUUGGACUCCCUGCAGUUACGGCACAGAGGCUCGAUGCCGAGGACACAACUUCCUGCUUUGCUGACAGUGUCUGUAUUGUGACACUGUCAGCUCUUCAGCUCUUCUUCAUUGUUGCUGGUCUCUUGGUAUCUACAGGAGACCAAGGUCCCACUAGUCUAGAUGAUCUACAAACAGUGAAAGCUUUUUUUAAUGUGAAGACCUUACAGUCAAUAUGGAGAACACAGACAAAGGUGUGAGAAUGCUGUCAUGAAUAAAUCUUCCCUAUGGAGAGAGAAGUAGAAACACAGAGAAAUCCCUGGAUCUCAUUACUAGAGGGACCAGUGUAACACAGGGAUGGAUUUUCACUUUUGCCUCUCAUUCAGAUGUGCUAAGGAUUCUGGAAGGUGGACCCGUAUCAGACGACUGUCAGGACAGCACUAGGGCAGGGCGUUUCACCACUCACUCACACACUCACUCACUCACUCACUCACUCACAUGGGCAAGUCUAAGUCAUGCCAAGUCACUCUGUCACCUCUCUGGUUUUGAAAAAUGAUGAGGGAUGUUUAAAAGUGUUAUGUAUAUGGGCAGUUAUCCCAGGGGGUGAGAAGAUUAGUGGAAGUAUAUUCCUGUAUAUAAAAAGAUACCUGUAAUAUUCAGAGGUGCACGGAUGAGACUUAAAGCUUUAACUUCUUAUAAGCAUCUAUCUGGAGUUUGAAGGCACCCCUCAUCUACAGCUAUAAGGGAUUGUAAUUAACAUCCCAACUCCUGUGAACUCAGUCCCUGAAGGCAGGUAAACUCUGAUUGCUGAGCAAUAGUACUGCUCACUUCUGAAAUGCUAUCAUAAACUACUCUAUAAAUAUGAAUGAACAAAGGCUGGCACAACCCAUACAAAAUGGUAGCUUUCAUCGAGACUGAGGUAGCUGGGACUGGUGCCAAAGGAGCCUGGGGCAGGAUCUUGUCGUGGCCUUGUGUGAAGCAACGCAGAUCUUGCACCCAAAAGGAAAGAGUCAGUGCUGGGGUACAUUGGCCCUACUGUGUGGGUCAAUGGUGGGGGAAUAGGUUGUGCCUGGUGGGGGACAAAACCCCUGGGAGAUGGCAGGUUCUUGGUCCACCUCAACUUAUUCCACUGUGACUGGCCAAGGACCACACUAUAAGUCUGUCUUGACAUCAGGUAGAAAACCCCUAUCUUAGGAGUCAUUCCUCUGUUCACAGGCUUGCCUUUGCUUCCCAAAUUAAGAUAUACGCUUUACGCUAGGCAGGCAGUAUGAUGGCUUAAUGAAGAAGAGGUCAGAAGUAAUACCUCAGCAUGACCUCUGCUUUCAUUGUCAAACACAUUAAACUACCCAAAAUGCACACAUCUGGGCUCUGUUUAGAGUAUGUUUGGUUUAUAUUUUUAAGGCUUUGCUUACCUGUGGAGUCUACUAUUUAUUGUAUGAUGCUUUUUGCCACUUAGGCACUAUGCUUAAUCAGAUUUGUAAAUUAAUUCUCUCCUGGGGUUUCUCUUUGUGUGUUCAGAAAACAUAAAAAGUGUUCGUGACACGCUUCAAAACAC